rnacentral:tRNA from 1 species
GGCUCCGUGGCCUAAUGGAUAAGGCGUCUGACUUCUAAUCAGAAGAUUGCGGGUUCGAGUCCCGCCGGAGUCG